UCAGCAGCCUGCCUGAUCUCUGCCUCUUGAUCUGCCCUUCUUUCCAGCCUCCACGCCUCUCUGCCUCGGAUUCUGGACUGUUCUCUGCCACAGCCACUUCCUGCUCACUAAAACCCUGUUACCUCUUCAGCUUCUGACACCUCCUCCUCCCAGUCUGCUCCCGCUUCUCCCUCUACCACCCAUCACCAUCCUACCACCAAUCCCCCGUCUCUGAGUGUUCCCCACCACCUUACAUGCCUUACUUUUUCCCUCUCAGGAGAAGAGGGGGUGUGACAUCAGUAAGCCUACUCUAUAAAUUUAGAACUCCGUGGUCCUUAACCCCUUCACAUACUAACUGGCAUUGUUAGGUUUGAUAGCAAAUCUCCCACACAUAUCCCCUUAUGGUCGCCACAAGCACCGUUCUUGUGCUUCUACACUAAGUGGAAGACGGAGAGUGCACACACAACAGGUGGGGUGUAACUAUGCUCUAGGACAGUAAUGUGAACACACCCUUGAAGAAUGAUCUGAGAGUAAAAGGGUAAGAAAGAGAGCAGGUUUCCCAAAGAAAAUGGGACCUGAUUGGGUUUGAAAGCAGAAUAUAUGAGAGAGUGAGGGUUUGGUUUUGAGAGAGAGAGAGAGAGAGAGAGAGAGAAGGGGGAAGGGCUAAUAACUUUCCAUAUGUCUACAAGGCGGUGGUUUUUUUGUGGUUGAGAUGAGGGCACCUGUUCAGCAAGUGACAGAGGAGGAGGUGAGGCAGGGAGGAACAGUCACAUGUAAAGGAAAUCAGGUCUCUUUGGGGACCCCAAGAGCAAAAAGGAACCAUUUUAUGACUAAGAUGGGGCUUUAAUGAUUAAAAGGAGAGCAAAUACUAAGAAUCCCAUUUUCCUGUUUUAUCAAAUCUAGGAUUAAGAGAUUACAGUCUUAGUUAAAGGGUUUGUCUCUUCCUGAGCUAACAAAAGGAAGGUAAAAAUUAACAGCCAGUGCAACCAUGCCUGUUGGUUACUUCUCAGUUGGAGACUUAGGUAAUUUUCUCCCCCUCCCCCCAAGUAAUUCCAAAAGGGAGCAGACGAAGCAAAAGAAUUAGGCUGGAAACAAACAAUGGGCAUGCCACAGGGGUGUUUGCUUACCGUGUGGGCAACAGUAAGUGCUCUGCCUGGGUUUUGGUUAUGCCUCAUGCUUUUCCUAACCCUGCCUGUGGCUGCCAUUUCAGC